AUUGCUUCUUGGUCUUUUGGCUAAGAUCCAGCAUAAUAUCCGCAUCAGUUUAGUAAAUGAUAUGUCCUUUAACUGAGGACAACAUAUUAAAUGGAUUUUUGAAACAGAGAUGAAAAGCUACUUUCUCCAUCCAUUGCUACUGACCUCUCAGAGGUAUUGUACUACCUGAGAAUAGGGUACCCCCU